rnacentral:ncRNA from 1 species
AAAAUUUUGGUCCUGGAUUUACCAUUACUUAUACUAAUUUUAUACAUGCAAGCCUCCCCACGCCAGUGAAGAAGUGCAUCAGGGACACCCUAAGACGCAACGCAAGGCCACAUCCACACGGACAUGCAGCAGUAAUUAACAUUUGGCAAUAAGCACACGCUUGACCAAGAUAUAGAACAUAAGAGUCGGCAAAUUUAUGUGCCAGCCGCCGCGGUUACACUGAAGACUCAAGGUAAUUGCCCCGGCAAAAAUGACUAAAACUAACAUCACACAAACUUAAGACUGGGCCCAAGCUUAUACGUUGAACAAAACCAGCAGAACCCCCAAAAAUCUUAACCCUGUGAUUUUUGACUCAUGAAGGCCAGGGAACAAACUGGGAUUAGAGACCCCACUAUGCCUGGCUGUAAAUUACUAGCCAAAAAAGUACAAGUCAACGCUUGAAACUUAAAGGACCUGGCGGUACUCUAUAUCAACCUAGAGGGGCCUGCUCAGUAAUCGAUAAUCCACGAAAAACCUCACCAUCUCUUGCCACCAGCCUAUAUACCGCCGUCUUCAGCACAUUUCACAAAAAAUGAAGCUAAACAGUCUCACACACUAGCACGUCAGGUCAAGGUGUAGCUCAUGAAAUGGAUAGCGCGGACCACAAUACCACAACACACAAAAAUCUUAUUGAAACAUAAGAUGGAAGACGAAUUUAGUAGUAAGCGGGUAGAAUGCCCCGCUGAACCUCCCCGCCCUAGAGUACGCACACACCGCCCGUCAUCCCCUUCAAUAAAUAAAAGGGGCAAGUCGUAACAUGGUAAGUGCACCAGAAGGUGUACUUGGAAGAC